UACAGAGGUCUCAAGCGUUGUUCGGAUUCAUUGGGCGUAAAGGGUGCGUAGGAGGGCAGGUAAGUCAGUGGUGAAAUCCCCGAGCUUAACUUGGGAACUGCCGUUGAUACUAUCUGUCUUGAAUAUUGUGGAGGUAAGCGGAAUAUGUCAUGUAGCGGUGAAAUGCUUAGAUAUGACAUAGAACACCAAUUGCGAAGGCAGCUUGCUACACAACUAUUGACUCUGAUGCACGAAAGCGUGGGGAUCAAACAGG
rnacentral:rRNA from 1 species